rnacentral:lncRNA from 1 species
GAGUCAGCUCUGAGGCGCCUUCCCCGCCCCCGCCUUGGCGGGGGGAGGAGACCUGGAGCUGAAGCGUCCCUGCCCCCCACCCAUCCGACGCUCACUGAAUGGGAACCAUAGGCGACCCUGAAAUGGGCAGGCCCAGAGUUGAAAUCUGAAAGGACCACCUGGCAAUCCGAUGAAGUUACUUGGACGGGCAGCGUGGCUAGCCAAUAGAAGAGUUCCGGCCAAGAAAAGUUUUUGAGAGCCAAUCAAGAGUGUGCUACCUCGAGAAAAGCUACCAAGAGGAAAGUGGAGAAUUUUAGCUUUGGUGCUCUGCUGUGGGACCAUUUGGGCCCAGAUGGACACUUAAACAUGAAAAUAUAAUUGAAGAAAAAGGAAUCUUCCACAAUUGAGAAGGGAUCAUCUUUGUCACUUAUCAUGAACAUAGUCUUACACUCUUCUCCUAACCAUAUAUCUGACAGUUUCAUGUUCAUCAUUUCAGCCAAAGCUAUAACUUAUGAAGACAGACUAUGGCAGGAAGGAUUGGUGUCUCCAUCAAGGAAAGGAUUACUCACGCUGAUCAACUCAUGCAUCUUGGAAGUAUUGAAGCUCUUACAGCCCUCUGCUUAAUAUUAUCUACCUUUAAGAAGACCUAGCCAAACCACACAUUCCAAGAAUCCAAACUCACUUAUCUUGUCUACUAUAAAGAUCCCUGAGAUGGACCAAGGAACUCUAAUCAAUAUAUUGACCAACCAAGAUUCCAGAGCAUCAAUGGUGAAGAAUUUUACUCACCUUUUGACAAAGAAGUGAUGAACUCAUUAUUCAUAAUAAAAUAUACUUUUUUGGAACA